GCUUGGUGGCCCCAUCUCUGCUCUUCUUUUAUUGCGAGGUUUCAAUGUGGCGGUGGGAUGAGGUUCCUGAGC
rnacentral:miRNA from 12 species